rnacentral:rRNA from 1 species
AGAGUUUGAUCCUGGCUCAGGACGAACGCUGGCGGCGUGCUUAACACAUGCAAGUCGAACGGAAAGGCCCUUCGGGGUACUCGAGUGGCGAACGGGUGAGUAACACGUGGGUGAUCUGCCCUGCACUUUGGGAUAAGCCUGGGAAACUGGGUCUAAUACCGAAUAUGACCAUGCACUUCCUGGUGUGUGGUGGAAAGCUUUUGCGGUGUGGGAUGGGCCCGCGGCCUAUCAGCUUGUUGGUGGGGUAAUGGCCUACCAAGGCGACGACGGGUAGCCGGCCUGAGAGGGUGACCGGCCACACUGGGACUGAGAUACGGCCCAGACUCCUACGGGAGGCAGCAGUGGGGAAUAUUGCACAAUGGGCGCAAGCCCGAUGCAGCGACGCCGCGUGAGGGAUGACGGCCUUCGGGUUGUAAACCUCUUUCAGCACAGACGAAGCGCAAGUGACGGUAUGUGCAGAAGAAGGACCGGCCAACUACGUGCCAGCAGCCGCGGUAAUACGUAGGGUCCGAGCGUUGUCCGGAAUUACUGGGCGUAAAGAGCUCGUAGGUGGUUUGUCGCGUUGUUCGUGAAAACUCACAGCUUAACUGUGGGCGUGCGGGCGAUACGGGCAGACUUGAGUACUGCAGGGGAGACUGGAAUUCCAGGUGUAGCGGUGGAAUGCGCAGAUAUCAGGAGGAACACCGGUGGCGAAGGCGGGUCUCUGGGCAGUAACUGACGCUGAGGAGCGAAAGCGUGGGGAGCGAACAGGAUUAGAUACCCUGGUAGUCC